AAUAGUUGCAGAACUGUGGGUCCAAAAAUCUACUGCUUGAAACAAAUGGGAAAGGGUAGCAGUUUCCAUGGGACUAAUACUAAAAGUGAUACAAUGAGAAGUUAAAACUUGGUUGGAUAUGACUCAUGUUAAAAAGUUUCCCCCAAAUUCCGCAAGUAAAGUUUGGUCUGUUAAGAUUUGUGUAUCUGAGAAAAAGAUUAUGCAGGCAAAAAAGGUAUUGUACCAGUACCAAACUCCGAUUAGAUCAAAGUAUAUGCUGCCAGAUACUUUGAUAUUCUUCUCCUGGAAAGGAGUUUUACGGGGCUAAAAAGUGGUAAUUUAAGGGAAGCUGUUACACCUCUACCUAUUACGUUAUGCAAUUUGUCUUUCUUUAGAUUAGAAAUUCAGGGAAGAUGUAUGAAAUGUGAUGCUGGUCAAAUAAGGCUAUUGUUCAAGCCAAACAAUAAAUAAGUAAAGAAAUAAAUGAUUACAAUCUCGAUCAUCACAAAGCUGGAGUAAGCUCAGCAGCUUUGAUCCUCUAGCGUUUUGAAAUUUUA